ACUCAAAUGAAUUGACGGGGGCUCGCACAAGCGGUGGAGCAUGUGGUUUAAUUCGAUGUAACGCGAAAAACCUUACCAGGGAUAAGUAAAGCUAAAUUUUAAUUGAAAGAUUUAAAUUAAAGAUUUUACAAGGUGGUGCAUGGCUGUCGUCAGUUCGUGUUGUGAGAUGUUGGGUUAAUUCCCGUAACGAACGCAACCCUAAUUUUUUGUUAUUUGUCAAAAAAUAUCGGUGAACAAACUGAUUAUUUGGGAAGACGUCAAGUCAGCAUGCCCCUAAUAUUCUGGGCUACACACGUGCCACAAAGUACAAUACAAUAAGUUGCUUUUUUGUAAAAAAUGGCUAAUCUACAAAAUUGUAUUCAGUUCGAAUUGUAGACUGAAACUCGUCUACAUGAAGUUGGAAUCGCUAGUAAUCGCUGAUCAGAAGAGCAGCGGUGAAUGAGUUUUUUACGAGCCCUGUACACACCGCCCGU
rnacentral:rRNA from 1 species